UACGUAGGGCGCAAGCGUUGUCCGGAAUUAUUGGGCGUAAAGAGCUCGUAGGCGGCCUGUUGCGUCCGCUGUGAAAUCCCGGGGCUCAACCCCGGGCCUGCAGUGGAUACGGGCUGGCUGGAGGCAGGCAGGGGAGAACGGAAUUCCUGGUGUAGCGGUGAAAUGCGCAGAUAUCAGGAGGAACACCGGUGGCGAAGGCGGUUCUCUGGGCCUGUACUGACGCUGAGGUGCGAAAGCGUGGGGAGCAAACAGG
rnacentral:rRNA from 1 species